UACGUAGGGGGCGAGCGUUGUCCGGAGUUACUGGGCGUAAAGCGCGCGUAGGCGGCUGUCUAAGUCGGAUGUGAAAUCCCCGGGCUUAACCUGGGAACUGCAUUCGAUACUGGGCGGCUAGAGUAUGAGAGAGGGAGGUAGAAUUCCACGUGUAGCGGUGAAAUGCGUAGAUAUGUGGAGGAAUACCGGUGGCGAAGGCGGCCUCCUGGCUUAAUACUGACGCUGAGGUGCGAAAGCGUUGGGGAGCAAACAGG
rnacentral:rRNA from 1 species